rnacentral:rRNA from 1 species
AACGCGUGGGUAACCUGCCUCACACAGGGGGAUAACAGUUGGAAACGGCUGCUAAUACCGCAUAAGCGCACAGUACCGCAUGGUACGGUGUGAAAAACUCCGGUGGUGUGAGAUGGACCCGCGUCUGAUUAGCUAGUUGGCAGGGCAGCGGCCUACCAAGGCGACGAUCAGUAGCCGACCUGAGAGGGUGACCGGCCACAUUGGGACUGAGACACGGCCCAAACUCCUACGGGAGGCAGCAGUGGGGAAUAUUGCACAAUGGGGGAAACCCUGAUGCAGCGACGCCGCGUGAGCGAAGAAGUAUUUCGGUAUGUAAAGCUCUAUCAGCAGGGAAGAAGAAAUGACGGUACCUGACUAAGAAGCACCGGCUAAAUACGUGCCAGCAGCCGCGGUAAUACGUAUGGUGCAAGCGUUAUCCGGAUUUACUGGGUGUAAAGGGAGCGCAGGCGGAAGGCUAAGUCUGAUGUGAAAGCCCGGGGCUCAACCCCGGUACUGCAUUGGAAACUGGUCAUCUAGAGUGUCGGAGGGGUAAGUGGAAUUCCUAGUGUAGCGGUGAAAUGCGUAGAUAUUAGGAGGAACACCAGUGG